rnacentral:rRNA from 1 species
GAAUAGAAAAAUUAAUAAAAAAUAAAUAAUAAAAGAAUUUUUAAUAUUGGGGGAUAUUAAAGUAUUUUUUUAAAAAAAAUAUUAAUUUUUAUAGUAAAAUAGUAUUGUAAAAUAAAUUUGAAAUAAUUGAAAAUAAAUUAAAAAUAAAGUAAUUUUAAUUUAAUGUAUCUUGGGUAUCAGAGUUUAUUAAAAAAUGUUUUUUAGAAAAAAAAAUCUCGAAUUUAAAAGAGUUAAUUAAUUAAAAAAAUUAAUGUUGAAUAAUUAUUUUAAAUAAUUAAUUAGAAAUGAAAUGUUAAUCGUUUUUAAAUAUAUCUAGUUUUUUUAGAAAAAAAUUUAAUUUAAAAUUUAAAAAAUUUUAUUAAAAAAUAUUUUUUAAUAAAAUUUUUAAAAUUUAAUAUAUUAAGGGAUAAGCUUUAAUAUAAAUAUUUAUAAUUAAUUAAUUUAUAUCAUAAAAAUUUUAAAAUUUAUAUUGUUUAAAAAUUAAAAUUUUUUAUAAAAAAUUUUAAUAAAAAUAAAAUUUAAUAUAAUUUAAUUUUUUAUAAAAAAAUAAUUUUUAAUAAAAAAAAAUUAGAAAUAAUGAUAAAAUUAGUAUAUUUAUAUUAAAAAUAAUAAGGUAAAUUUAAUUUAAAUUAAAGGAAUUCGGCAAAUAUUUAUAUUCACUUGUUUAUCAAAAACAUGUCUUUUAGAAAAUAAUUUAAAGUCUAAUCUGCCCACUGAUAAAUUAUUAAAGGGCUGCAGUAUAUUGACUGUACAAAGGUAGCAUAAUAAAUAGUCUUUUAAUUGAAGACUUGUAUGAAAGAUUUAAUGAAAUAUAAACUGUCUCUGAUUUAAUAAUAGAAAUUAAUUUUUUAGUUAAAAAGCUAAAAUUUUUUUAAAAGACGAGAAGACCCUAUAGAGUUUUAUUUUAUUAUUAUUUAAGAUUAUAUUUAUAAUUAAAAAUUAAAAUUAGUAUUAAAAUUUUAUUGGGGUGAUAAAAAAAUUAAAAUAACUUUUUUUAAAAUUUAUUAACAUAAAUAAAUGAAAAUUUGAUCCAUAAAUUAUGAUUAAAAGAAAAAAUUACCUUAGGGAUAACAGCGUAAUAUUUUUUUUUAGUACAAAUAAAAAAAAAAGAUUGCGACCUCGAUGUUGGAUUAAGAUAAAAUUUAAAUGCAAAAGUUUAAAAGUUUUGAUCUGUUCGAUCAUUAAAAUCUUACAUGAUCUGAGUUCAAACCGGUGUAAGCCAGGUUGGUUUCUAUCUUUAAAAUAAAAAAAAUAUUUUAGUACGAAAGGAUCAAAUAUUAUUAAUAAUUAAAUUAAUUAGAAUAUUAGUAAAUUUUAUAUAAU